CCUACGGGAGGCAGCAGUGGGGAAUAUUGCACAAUGGGGGAAACCCUGAUGCAGCGACGCCGCGUGAGUGAAGAAGUAAUUCGUUAUGUAAAGCUCUAUCAGCAGGGAAGAAAAUGACGGUACCUGAGUAAGAAGCCCCGGCUAACUACGUGCCAGCAGCCGCGGUAAUACGUAGGGGGCAAGCGUUAUCCGGAUUUACUGGGUGGAAAGGGAGCGUAGACGGCAGUGCAAGUCUGGAGUGAAAGGCGGGGGCUCAACCCCCGGACUGCUCUGGAAACUGUACGGCUGGAGUGCAGGAGAGGUAAGUGGAAUUCCUAGUGUAGCGGGGAAAUGCGUAGAUAUUAGGAGGAACACCAGUGGCGAAGGCGGCUUACUGGACUGUAACUGACGUUGAGGCUCGAAAGCGUGGGGAGCAAACAGGAUUAGAUACCCCAGUAGUC
rnacentral:rRNA from 1 species